AAAGUAUUCCCUCCGAUCCACAUUACUUGUCGCAGUUUUGUCCAGAUACGCAUGUAUCUAGACGCGUUUCAUUGUGUAGAUACAUGCGUAUCUAGUCAAAGCUGCGAUAAGUAGCAUGGAUCGGAGCGAGUAUCAU
rfam:Brachypodium distachyon strain Bd21 chromosome 3, whole genome shotgun sequence.